ACUAAAUCUAAAGUAGAACAUUUUUAUGCUAAGUUAAAAUUUCUGGUAGUUUUUUCAUUCACAAUUUUUAAGCAAGAUUUUGCUACAGAUAGAGGGGUAUUGGACAGUCGGUCCCACGAAAAUUCGUUCUCCUAUUUUUUUACGCCUGAGAGCACUUGGCGCACAGCUGAUAAGCAGCGCAGCGCCGCAGCGUUUGGCGUUGGCGUCUACGCUAAUUAAACUCAUUUUCACUCAUCAAAACGCACAGCGGGAGCAUUGAGCGAGUGCGACAAUUGUCGCUAGAUAUGAUGAACUCCGGCAAGGCAAGAGGGGAGUGCUGGCCAUCGUCGUCGCCUUUGCCUUGGAAACAAAAGCAUGCUUCGCUAAUAAUGCUCAUGGAGGGCUGUCAAUAAGUAGUACUAUUCAUUUGAGCCAUAUUGUCUGGCAGACGAAGCAAGCAAUUUAAUUCAAGGUCAAUUUGAUUCAAGUCUUUGUUUAUGCGUUAACAGAGGAAUACUGAAUUUAAUUAUGGAAAAUAUGAGAAAAGCCAUGCUCGAGUGCCCCAAAUGCCCAAGUAUUAAGUCGCUUUAUUUAUGAGUUUAAUAAUAUUUGUACCCAAAUGUUGCCAUGAAAUAAAUUUCAUGAAGGCUCUAUACCAAAAUUUUACUUAGAAGCGUGAAAUAUGGAUGGAAAGGUGUUGCUGUAUUGAAUAAAUUUUAAAUGUAAUAUGUAUUUAUAUAUUUAAUUUAUUUGGAUACAUCUGGUUACCAAAGGUGGAAAUAGAAGGUGCGGGGUUGCACUCACGAGUCGCCUUUGGCAAAGAGUCUUACAUAGGAUUUCACAAUAAAUUAAUAUUAUUUCCGAUUGGGCUAAACGAGUUUUUUAAAUAAAAUAAAUGAGCACGUGUCUCACUUAAAUAGUCAAA